CAUUUUAAACCACCAUGGCCUAUUUAGCAACAUCUUGGCCAUGGAGGUUUAUAAUGAGUGCAUUAGAUAGUUAGUGUAAACUGAAUACAUUUGGGAGGAAAAUGUUCUGAGAAAAAAAAAAAUCAAACUCUUGAUUCUACAUGUACCAAAAGUGUCCUCGAUUACAGAUCCCAUAAAAUAUCUUAUCUU